GACGAACGCUGGCGGCGUGCUUAACACAUGCAAGUCGAACGGAAAGGCCCUGCUUAUGUGGGGUGCUCGAGUGGCGAACGGGUGAGUAACACGUGAGUAACCUGCCCUUGACUUUGGGAUAACUUCAGGAAACUGGGGCUAAUACCGGAUAGGAGCUCCUGCUGCAUGGUGGGGGUUGGAAAGUUUCGGCGGUUGGGGAUGGACUCGCGGCUUAUCAGCUUGUUGGUGGGGUAGUGGCUUACCAAGGCUUUGACGGGUAGCCGGCCUGAGAGGGUGACCGGCCACAUUGGGACUGAGAUACGGCCCAGACUCCUACGGGAGGCAGCAGUGGGGAAUAUUGCACAAUGGGCGGAAGCCUGAUGCAGCAACGCCGCGUGCGGGAUGACGGCCUUCGGGUUGUAAACCGCUUUCGCCUGUGACGAAGCGUGAGUGACGGUAAUGGGUAAAGAAGCACCGGCCAACUACGUG
rnacentral:rRNA from 1 species